CUCUGCCUUGUGCUGGAUCAGGGAGCAGCUCAGAGACCAGAGGGGAUUUUUUGGCUCCUAAGGGCUGGCAGGGAUGAUCUGUGUGCUGAGCCCCCUCCCAAGGGCCAGGAGGAUUUGGGUGCUGGAAUUGUCCCCACUGAGCCUGGGAGAGAAGAGGAGCAUCCAUGACAAUCCCUUGUCUCCCAGAUUUACACUCUGAUCUUUUUGCUUUGAAAGGGUCUGUCCCGGUGGAUUUGCCCCCUCAGCCCCAGGCUGUUUCCCCAGGAGCCCUCCCAGCAGAGGAGGCAGAGCAGAGCAUCCCCAGCAGGAUGGACUGGGCUCAGUAGCCAUGGAAACGCCGGCCCGGCCCCGG